UCCCAAAAACGCCUCUUAACCUCCUCGUCUAAGCCCGCUUGUGGCGCAUAAGCGCUACUGACGUUGAGGACGCAACCCCCAAAUAACCAACUUAAUAGACAUUAACCUAUCAUUCACUCGCCUAACCUCGACCACAGACUCUCGUAGAUCCCUAUCUACCAAGAAGCUCACUCCAUUCUUACCUCUCACGACCCCAGAAUACCACAGCUUAAACCCGU
rnacentral:lncRNA from 1 species